AGGCAUGGGAAGACAUAUCAAAUCAACUAACCGCCUCUCAAACGUUCAGCCAUCGGUCACCAGCUGACUCCGAGAAAAAGUUGUAUGACGUUCUCUCGAAAAACAGAAGUGAAAUCGCAGCUUUCAAGGCCUGCUUCAUGCGCACUGGCGGAGGACCACCUGGCAAAUAUUUGAGCGAAGUUGCAGAAGUUGUGCAGCGUUUUCUUGGAGAGGAUAACCCCAGCAUCUCUGGGUUGGACAGCGGCCAUGAUCCAGCUGCGAUGAAGCUUGAGUUGAUUUCAAAAGGUUUGGAUCGAGAUGCAUUAGAGUCUCCUGUGUCCCCAGGCAUCUCACAUACACACUCUCCCUCUGCCUUUGACGCGGUGCAGCCAGGCCCGAGCACUUUGUGUGAGGCAACAGGCAACAAUUAAGUGUGGAGGUUGGCGAAGUGUUGUCUGAAGGCUGCCCCUUCACAUGGAUGGAUGUUGCCAGGAAUGCUCACGUCUCCAUCUCCUCCCUCAUCGUCAUCAUCGUCUGCUGUUUGGAGUGGGACAUUGCGCCCCUUACAAAUGUUGUGCAGUAUUGCACAUGCCAUAAUGAUAUGGCACACUGUCUGAAGUGUGCCGUAUUUCUGAAUGCAUCACAUGAAAUCUGUGUUUCCACUGGCCAAUCCAACCUCUCCACCACGCGUUGUGU